UGUUUAGGGUGGAAAAUAGAGGGAAAAUCAGAAUCAAACCAGGACUAAAGAAAUACGGCUGUGAUUUGACACUGGAUCCAAACACAGCACACCCUCGUCUCUCUCUGAGUGAGAAGAACAGGAUGGCGGUGAGGAGAGAGGAGCUGGAGUCAUAUCCUGAUCAUCCAGAGGGGUUUAAUGUGUAUCUGCAGGUUCUGAGUAGAGAGAGUUUUACUGGGCGCUGUUACUGGGAGGCUGAGUGGAGUGGGAGGGGAGGAGCUAAAUUAGUUCUGACUUAUAAAACCAUCCGCAGGAAAGGAGUGCGUUUUGACCGUCAGUUUGGAUGCAAUAGAAACUCCAUGAGUCUGUUCUGCUCUGAUAAUGAAUACUCUGUUCAUCACAAUCUAAACAUCACUAAACUCCGCCCUCCUCCCUUCGGCUGUAGGAGAGUAGGAGUGUAUGUGGACUGUCCCUCCGGCAUUCUGUCCUUCUACAGCGUCUCCUCUGAUACACACACACACACACUCACACACAUUCUACACCACAUUCACUCAGCCCCUCUAUGCAGGAUUUGCUGUUUAUGAUGACUCCUCAGUGUCUGUGUGUAACAUAGAUUAACCUUUCCUGUGUGUGUGUGAGUGUGUGAGUGAAUGUUUGCGUAAGUGUAAGUAUGAGUAAGUAUGUGAUUGUGAGGGUGAGUGAAUGUGAUAGUGUGUAUGAGUGUAUGGGUGUGUGAGUGGUGAAGGGUGUGAUUGGAGAUAACCACACCUUCACACUCUUAUUCUUAAAUGUUUUAUACAUUUAUAUAUACAGUUAUUAUUUUUACUGUUCACAUUAUAAUUCACUUAAUAACCUUAUGAUCUCUGCUCUCUUUUUAACUGUCACUAUGACAAGGCUUUGGAGGUUGUUUUUACUUUUUCAGGAAUCAGGAAGGUCAGAGUGUUUUCAUCAACAAUGAGAGCUGUGAGGAGAACGUGACCCUGAGUGGCAGAGAAGCUUCACUGCUUUUCUGCUGUUCUGGGACCAGUGCAUAUGAACUAGGAGACAACAAGCUCUCUGAGUGAAGUGCUGGGAACCUCUCCUCAGAUAGCCAGCGCAUGCCUGUUCUACACGGCGUAAAGUCACACACAGGCCAGAAGAUCUUUCCAUCCACUCUUUUCCUCCGUUUCAUCUUCUCACAGACUUUAGGACACUUAAGGACUGUCUGCUGUUUUCAUGAAGGACACAGCGCUGAACAACAUCAUGAUAAGAACAGACAGGCUGGAGCGGAUCACGUCAUUAAAACUGGACAACAUGCUGUUAACUGGACUUUGCUGACGUAAUCAUAUUGAUAAGUUCUGUUCAAUCACGUCAUUUGCAUAAAUGUAUAACUGCUUGGAUGAAGUCUGAGGAGUUCUCUCUGUCCCUCGACUGGCUUUAGUUUCUUUCUCUUUCUUUCUCUCUCUCUCUCUCUCUCUCUCUCUCUUUCUCUCUCUCUCUUUCUCAUAGUGAAAGAGUUAAUGAGUGAGCCAUUCUGAACACAGCUUCUGUCUUCAUGUGGUUUAGGCCUUUUCUAUUCUUAUUCUUUUCUUAUUGAGACUGAUUUCAGCUCAGUCUCAGCUGAAUGAGAUUUAAAGAAUACACAUAUCUAAUUUC